UCUGAGCCAUCUCUCCAGCCCCUA
rnacentral:piRNA from 1 species